CUGGAUUUGUCCUCUCUGGACCUGAAAUCUCCGCCUCUGUAUAUUCGUUCAGCAAGGUUCAGGUCUUCCAAAUUCUUUUACGGCCGAAUAUCCAUGUGCAUGUCCAGGGUUUGCACAAUCCAGUUUUUCAGUUCAAUAUAUUUUUAUAUAGCACCUUUAUAUAGAGUCAUCCAAAGAAGCUAGUAUAUGGCUAUGUUGUUAUACAUUCGUGCAUCAUUUAUGCAGAAUUUAUACAGAAUUAAAUUUUGUUUGGUGGUUUGCUUAGAGCAUUUGACUACCUAGUCUUAUUUUUUUUUUUAAUUAACCCAGAGAAAAGGUCCUAUUUAUCUGUCGAUGUUAAUGCUAGCCAACUCGACUAUUAACUAAUUAUGAUACUGACGAUCAAACGUUAUGUGUGUGCAUUUAGCCUAUUAAUGUAUGUCUUAGCCUGUUAUUAGUAGAAUAUUAAUGCAUAUAAAAAAUUAUGCAUGCUGUCCGCUCACAUUAUAAAACAAUGUGACCAUCUCUAGACAUACCUCCUCCCUUCUUGGGCCACUCCAGUUAAAAUUUCCUAGAACGGCCUCUGGUGACGGUUAAGUACCUUACAGCGUAGGGAAAGGGGGGGUCACACUUUGCUGAAGAGGCACCGCUGAUCAAGCAAAAAAUCCAGGAUAAUCUUUGGGUUCACUGCGAUCCCUCAGUAGACCUUCCAGAGUGCCGCGCUGUUGUUCCCUUGUGGAGGUGUGCAGGGACUGUGAAGCGCGCGCCACCGGCCGCCCACUUCGUUUCUGCCGCACAGCGAUGCUAAGUUCACCGAUGAACACAAGGGGGCGCAAUUGACCCUGAUACACGGCAACAUAAGAUGUGGCUGUGGAACGAUGAGAGAGUGGCGGACUCAGUUCAUGGAAGGCAAGCGUUUCCAUUCUAGGUAUUCUGACGAAAUGACGAAUGUGCUUCAUGGCCGCGACAAGUUAAAAAAGACAACAACAACACACGUGACACACGACAUCGCAGGAAGCGCGUCUAAAGUUGAAGACGUAUGCAGAGUCAACACACAAACAACUCCUAGGUUUGCAGUGGCGAGGGAGACUUCUUCUCAGCAGCGUUUAACAACGUGUUUCCUACGAGACCGUACCCUACACCUGCAGAUGCACUGCAUCUACAGGAGGCGACGUGACGCCUUUCACGCUAAGCCAUCAGCGUGCUGACAUCUCCACCGUGAGUAUAAUGGUGUGUGUCUCGGGCACAGGGUAACAAUACUAUAUAAUGUGGUAAUAAUACACUAAAUAUCACUUCAUGUAACGUUGACCCGAUGGCUAGAUGGUCUUGCAGCACGUAUGGGGAAAAACACUGGCAUUUACAUCUACCCAUGAACAAAAGAAAUCGGAAUUUGGAGCGGUCUGAACAUUAAGUGCUUUAAAUCCAAACGAGUUCUACAGUAUUUUUUGGCAAACGUUUACAGUUUCAACUUAGUGUCUAUACAGAAACAGCAUCCCCAGCAGUUUAGAAGCCCAGUUAAAUAUACGCUAUGUGCAGGUCCCUCGCCAUGACUUCUGGAUACUUCCAGUUUCGGGAGGGCGGUGGGGGGAUUUUUCUGCUGAAAUACAACUGACCUUCUGUUUUGUUUUGUUUUUUAAAGAGCAACUUCCAUAUUCAGUCAAGAGGCACAAUAAAAAAAGCUUGCACUGUACCACAACAACAACAAUGAAAUAAAGGAACAAAAGUUACCAGAAUACCAUCCAUGUGGUCUAAGUGAUUACUGUACAUUGUCGAACACAUUCUUUCAGAAUGGUACAGGACGCUGCCCAGGUUUGUGCUUCAGUACGUUUCCUACUGCAAUCCUUCCAGUCCCACCUGUGGUGUCCAGGAUGUGGCCGCCAGCCCGGCGGUUUUGGAGACUGCGGGGGGCAGCUGUGGGGUAGCUGCUGGCACCCCACCCCCUAUCUGAGGCUGCUAAGGGCGGGGGAGGGGAGAUGUGGCCACUUAGUGACCGACUUCUUUGUUGGUGGCGCGAACCCAGUCCAGGAUAAUCAGGGACAUGCAGCUGAUCAUGACAACAAACCCCAGGAUCAAGAAGAGGACAGCCUGGCAGUAGAGGGAGGGGAGAAAGACGAUUCAGUCCGGCUGCGUCCAGUCCUUGCCAUCAGAACACUGCCACUAAGCAUAGAAACGCCCCAAUUUGCCCCAACACAUGAUCGCUUACCCCAAUCUUCUGGAUAGAGUUCAUUGGCUCCUUCCUCACCAGCUUGAUGUAGAACGCAGAUGGAAGGAUGAAGAUCAACAUGCCAGCGGCAGAGGCUCCUAAGAGAUGAGGGAAGACAUGGGGAGAGUCAGAGACAAGAAGGGCGGCCCUGUCAGGCAGCACCACGGGGGGAGCAGCAGAAGGUUGCUCACCAAUGACGCCGAAGAUGUCCCGGAUGCUGGGCACGAAGAUGACGAGAACAUUGGUGCUGCCCAGGAGGGUGAUGGUGAUGAUGAAAUGCCGGAUCCAGCUGAAAUCUUUGGAGGCGCAGAGCAGUUGGUUGACAGAGGUGCGGAUCUGUUGGGUGGGACAGGAAAACUGGUAAGGAUAGCAGCUUCAACGGCUACGGACCACUUUUCCAGCCCGAGAAUGGUAACCGCUAACUAGGCCAAUGGAGGCAGCAGAGGUACGCACUGGGAAAAGCACAACAGGAACGGUCAAGGUGACUGCGGUCAGGACGGCCAGGCGCACGAUGAGGAGGACCACGUCAAAUUUGAAGAUUCUGCGGUAGGUGUGAAGCAGCUCUGGUUCUACAUUGCCUGUAGAAAGAAACCAGAAGUCCAGCCUUCAGAACAUCCAUCCAUCCUUCCACCAAUCAUUUAUCCAACACAAGCCCAUGUGGGCCCUCCACAGUAAACCCAACAUCAACCCAACUCCACCUACUGGCUACUAUCUGCGUAGCUGUCAUAUCAAAACAAACAACAAAUAACAAAAAAAUCAAUAUGGAAUCUUCUGCCCAAUGGUAAACAUGCAUCCAAUUGACUUACGGAAGAUAUACUGGUUACUGUCCUGUUUAGCUGCUUACAUUAAAUUGCCCAGAUACUGCAGAUAUUCAAUGGUAGGAGUAACUGACUCACCGUAGAAGGAGAGAUAGCCAAACAGGGCAGCCAGCAGGUACAUGACGAACAUGGACAAGAAGGAGACGUUGGCCACGUUCUGCAUCUUCUUACGGGAGCGACUAGGAAGAGGAGUAACGUACAUAAAGACGCUGCAAUUGUCCACCGAUCAACAUUCUUUUAAACCCUAAAGCAGAAUUUCUGCUGAGGCAGUUCAGCUGAGGUACGUGGCUGAUCCAGUAACUACGAGUUACAAAACCUGCACUUCCUGGGCAAAACCCUAAAACCCUUUACCGCUAUCGCAUAGCCUAGCAGUUUCCGAUGACUCUUCUUGAGCAUCGCGCUAUGAAGAGGACUUACUCUUUCAAUUCCUCGUACAUAGGCAGCACCGCAGGGUGGCAGACGAAGGCAAAGGUCAGGAUAGGAAUAGCAUAUGCCGUCUAAAGAUAAAAACACAGACAAUCCAUAAGACUUUUAGAUAGCUCCGACAGCAACGGUGACCUGGCAUUGUCCAUUCCCCGGGCACAUGACUGAAGACUUCUCCGUAACGCACCUGAGAGUUAUGGACAAAGUAUUUUGGCGUGCAAGCAUUAUCUUCAUAGGCUGUGAGGUUGUGCUCCGAAUGAGAAACGCCGGUGUCCAGGGUAAUGUUCUCUGAGUCCUCGUUCAGCAUGCCGCAAGUGAUCUGGAACUUCUUGUAGAUAACCUGUGAAAGAAUGCGCCGUUGGAAACGAGCCUAGUUAUGUAUCACUGUAAGGUGCUUUUCUUUAAAGCUACACCCUUUUAUUGUUGUCAACUGUGAUAAAAGCCUCGACAGUGAAAGCAGAUGGGUCAUUAACAACCAAACUCACCACAAUCAGGAAGAAGACCAUGCAGAGUAAGGAGAGACCACUGGUAUAUCCAAGGUAACCUGGAAUUCCAAUGGUAAAUAUCAUAUUAAGUACACAGAUGGAAAUGUCAUCAUACAUCCUGUUUUUUUUUCCCCAAACACACCCUGUAAUUACUCACUCAUUGUACAUUCAGAACAGAGUGACGCGCUACUUCCUCAGCCAAGUACGCACUUCGCAAACUUUUUAGCUGCCUCUGUUUUUGCUUACCGAGAUUUUUUAGCAGUGACAGGGGCAAGAUGAGCACUAAGGAGACGAGUACCACCAGGUAGUCACCGUUCAGGUACCAUUCUCUGCAAAACAGAUGCAGACACACUUAGCCUCAAACCGCAAGUGACUCACAGCCCUCCAAGGUUUCUGACAGUCACAAAACAAUAAACAAAUUAAAUAAUCUGGAACAUACCCCAAGUUUUUUUCCACCCCCAAGAAAGCCCGGAUGACUUCUGGCAGUUCAUACUUCACGAUGUAGAGGUAGCUGGACAUGGCUGUGGAGUGUCACACAAACUUUACUCUCGUUCAGCGAUUACAUAAUUAGCCUCGAUUUUCGCGGAAAAAAACGGCAAAGCGUGUAUCCGCGCGGUUCUCAGAAGUAUAGCAUGUGCAACUUCCUUUUUAACGACUACAUUUUUGUUUAAAAAGAGGACUUCCUGCCUCUUGUUUCUGGGCAGUGGCUACGGGCUCCUUACCUCCAAUGUUUUGCACGGUGAUAGAUAUCGAAGCAGCAAGUUUUCCAGGCAAGCCGAAAGCUUUGUAGCCCAACUGUUCGUAUACUAAGGCACCUGGAGAGGCCACAGCAAGUUUACACUUAGUGACAACGGGCGAAGGCAAUAAUUAAACACGUCUUUAAUUAACCAAACGAGCCUCACCUCCUUCAUUGGCUGUUUUCAGCAGCAGGUGCACAGAGUAAAGGGAGAAUAUUAAUACUGAGACGAGGAGGAUCCUGCAAGAUGAAAGCAAAAGAGGAGCCGGGUUAUUCCCUGGAAUGAUGCCCCCCAAGCACCGGGCCCCGCAGCUGCUGUUCAGGGGAAAGACAGUCCCGCGAAUUCACCUAAGCGUGCUGAAAGUCAGAGGUCAGAAUACAGGCACGCGGCUCCCGCUGGUGAUCUCCAGCGUGCCUUUUCCUGUGCUGACCGCUAAAAGUCCGAGGUGAGACAGCGGACAGCUAAGGACACUCACACGAAGAGGGCGAUGCCCGUGUUGGCCAUGGCGUAGGACAGGGCCAGGAUACCACUGCCCAUGAUGGCGUUGCCCAAGUUGAAGACGGACAUCCCGAAGGAGGUCGUACCAGGAUGCUGAAAAAAAGCACAAUUUAUAAAUAAUGAUAAUAACAAUAAUAAUGAUUAGUCACAUUUGGAUAGUAAAUAAAUGAUGAGUGAAACCUA